GCAACAGCUGUGGCAAAGUUUCUUCAUGGUCUGAUCUGCCGUUAUGGGUGCCCUGAAAUUGAGAUAUCUGACCAAGGUGGAGAAUUUGUAAACCAAGUUCAGGCAGAACUGCACAAGCUAACAGGUGUGGACUAUCGUGUCACAAGUGCAUAUCAUCCACAGGAUAAUGGACUAGUAGAGAGACAAAACCACACAACACAGAACAGCUUGCUGAAACUCCUGGAAGGCUCCGAGGAUGGGUGGGCAGACCUGCUGGAUGGUGUCCUGUUUGCGUACAGAACAGCUGUACAUGCUUCAACAGGUUUUACCCCAUUCUUUCUCCUCUAUGGGCGACAACCAUUUAUAGGUUAAGAUGAAGAACAUGAAAAACACAAACGGCUGGUGGCAAACUACGGGAGCAUUGGAUAGGAUCAUACACCAUGGAGGAAAUCAAGAAAA